rnacentral:rRNA from 1 species
UUCGGGGGGCCGUGAGACAGGUGCUGCGUGGGUGUCCUCCUCUCGUGUCGAGAUAUGGUGGGUUAACUCCCACCACGAGCGCAACCCCUAGGGAUAUGUGCCAACUUAUAAUGUUGGGCACUCUAUUCUGACUGCCCGGGUUAACCGGGAGGAAGGUGGGGACGACGUCAAGUCAUCAUGGCCCUUACACCUAGGGCUACACACGUACUACAAUGGCGCGCACAAAGGGGAGCGAGACCGCGAGGUGGAACCAAUCCCAAAAAACGCGUCCCAGUCCGGAUUGCAGUCUGCAACUCGACUGCAUGAAGUUGGAAUCACUAGUAAUUCAAGAUCAUCAUGCUCGGAUGAAUGCGUUCCCGGGCCUU